CAGUCGCCGCGGGAAUACGAAGGGUGCAAGCGUUAAUCGGAAUUACUGGGCGUAAAGCGUGCGUAGGCGGUGAGUUAAGUCUGCCGUGAAAUCCCCGGGCUCAACCUGGGAAUUGCAGUGGAUACUGGGUCACUAGAGUGUGGUAGAGGAUAGUGGAAUUUCCGGUGUAGCAGUGAAAUGCGUAGAGAUCGGAAGGAACAUCAGUGGCGAAGGCGGCCAUCUGGGACAACACUGACGCUGAGGCACGAAAGCGGGGGGAGCAAACAGGAUUAGAUACCCCUGUAGUCCCUGUCUCUUAUAC
rnacentral:rRNA from 1 species